UACGUAGGGGGCUAGCGUUGUCCGGAAUCAUUGGGCGUAAAGCGCGUGUAGGCGGCCCGGUAAGUCCGCUGUGAAAGUCGGGGGCUCAACCCUCGGAUGCCGGUGGAUACUGUCGGGCUAGAGUGCGGAAGAGGCGAGUGGAAUUCCUGGUGUGAGCGGUGAAAUGCGCAGAUAUCAGGAAGAACACCAAUGGCGAAAGCAGCUCUCUGGGA
rnacentral:rRNA from 1 species